rnacentral:rRNA from 1 species
GUUAACCUACGGGGCGCAGCAGUGGGGAAUAUUGCACAAUGGGGGAAACCCUGAUGCAGCGACGCCGCGUGGGCGAGGAAGUACCUCGGUAUGUAAAGCCCUAUCAGCAGGGAAGAAACAGGACAGUACCUGACUAAGAAGCCCCGGCUAACUACGUGCCAGCAGCCGCGGUAAUACGUAGGGGGCACGCGUUAUCCGGAUUCACUGGGCGUAAAGGGAGCGCAGGCGGCAUGGCGAGUCUGAUGUGACAACCCGGGGCCCAACCCCGGGAGUGCAUUGGCAACUGCCCGGCGGGAGUGUCGGCG